GUGCCAGCAGCCGCGGUAAUACCGGCAGCCCAAGUGAUGGCCGCUGUUAUUGGGCCUAAAGCGUCCGUAGCUGGCCGACCAAGUCUCCCGGGAAAUCCACCUGCCCAACAGGUGGGCGUCCGGCGGAAACUGUGUGGCUUGGAACCGGAAGGCUCAGAGGGUACGUCCGGGGUAGGAGUGAAAUCCCAUAAUCCCGGACGGACCACCGAUGGCGAAAGCACUCUGAGAAGACGGCUUCGACAGUGAGGGACGAAAGCUAGGGUCUCAAACCGGAUUAGAUACCCGAGUAGUCC
rnacentral:rRNA from 1 species